UUCUACGCUCCGUCUCCUAGAGCGAGAAACGGAGAAGGACCAAGGACUGCAGCUCAAAAGCCCGAGUCUCUGCCUACAGUUCUGACGCCCUUCUCCCCGAGGACUCGUCCAGCUUGAAGUAAAGACACAUUUACAUGUAACAGGAAGAAGCAGCAGCAGAAAGAAAGGAGCAGCUUCGGGAUCCACACUUUGUGAAGCCACAGCUACCAGGAUGUCAGAUUUCCAAACAGUGCGAGUAAAAACCUCUGCAACUAAGAAGCCCUGAUGCACCAGGGGUCUGGAAACAAGGCGAUGAAGAUUUCAGGCUUCGGAUGCCCUGGUUCAAACGAGGUCAUUUGGUUCCCCUCGGUUUUCGCUUCACGACAAUAUUCCUCUGCAGAACAAUUCGGCGAGAAUCAGCGCCUGGGCUUCAGCGGAUCCUCGGGUCCCCUAAAGGAGCGUAGUGCUGUGGCUCAGCAUCGCAAAAUGUUAAUGAGCACAUUAAUCUGCCUUCGUGUCCGCGGCCUGAGUCGCGUUCCCACCUAGUGGGAACCGCAGGUACGGAGCUCAGCGCUCACUGCUCCGGUACUCUGGUACAAUACCCAAGGAGCAGGUCCUUCCACCAUCACAGCCACAAACUCCAAGUGGAGCUCAGGUGGGUCUGCGGAGGGCCAACGUCGCACCGCUGGAAAGGAGGUGCGCUGUACGUAGGCAGCGGCGGGACAAGAGCCGACCUGCGAUACCCAAGAGCGCACGCUGCCGGAGACACGAGAACGAGGCAGCGACGGUGCUUCUCCUUCCCUUCCCCGUACACUCGCGGUGCGUUUACGCAGCACGGAGCAAAUGUGCCGACACAAUCGAACACCACAAGUUGCUGCAGUAAUGCAUUCUUUCAUUGGUUGAGUUCAAAUCUGGCUUUGAAGCCACCCUGGUUCAGCUCCUGGUCACACAUGUUUUGGAAAUCCGACUGCAGACAGCGAGUCUGUGUUUUUCAACAAGGUGAAAGAGGAAGGAAGAGAAUGAAACAGGAAUGUGCUCCACAGUGAAAGCUGCCUGUAAGCCAUGUGAACGCU